UUGCAAGCUAGAACACAUGGGAUAUAUAGAGAUGCUUAGGCUUCUUGUCAAAGGAAGCCAGCUGUGAACAAUUCUGUAUCAUGACCCAAGCUUUUUUCUGGUACCAGCUUAGCUGUAAUUUGGCCAGGUCAAUCACUGAAGCAAGGUGGGCUUAAAGAAAGGGAUUUACCUUAUGUGGUUUCCCAGUGCUGGGAAAAACCUGGUGCUGCUGAUGAGGAGGAAAUGGUAUAAUAAACAGAUAUAUGUUAAAAAGAGAUUGAGACCAAGAGAGUGCUGUUUACCUGUGGGAACAAGUGAGGCGUUAAGAAGAUGUUUCUAUUGGAAGAAACAUACUGGAAUUUAACUAUGUACAAAGAUUCAUCAAACCUGGCUCUGCAGAGAGAUAAAAGCAGUAAAGAGGUGAAGAAAUAAUUUUAUUUUAGCAAUUUUCAAGCUUUUACCUUUCAUACUCACUGUAGUCUGUUCAAUUUCUUUGUUACAGUGGGAGAGGUGGGUGUCAUUCCCCCUGCCUUGGAUAUCACUGUCCAAUCUGUUCUUUGUAUUUAACUGCUUGCUUAGUUCAACAGCCACUUGCAUAUCCACAAACUUCUCUUUUUAAAAUAUUUCUUUGGCUCUAGGCGUUUUUGCUGCUUAUCUCAAGAAUCCAUCUACUUGGCUCUCCUACAAAUUUGCAUCAGCUUAGGCAAGUUGCACUUGGCUAGGCUGCAGUGCCCUUACCCAUGCUAAGCAGUGCCUUGCUACGCAAACAGCCUGCUGUCAUGAGCAGUGCUGCUCAGCAGAGAAGAUAUUAGCUGGCUCAAGAAAAAGCCCUUUACUUGAUCAAAAAAUCUGUGUGAUAAGAAUCUUCCCCAUGGAUGAUGAAAGUCUGUUUCUUCCUUCCUUUGGUGAGCACGUUGAGCCCUACAGAUCAAAACCUGUCUAUACAGGCUAAACAUAGCUGAGUAUUUGUAGGCGUUUCUGUGGUACCUAAAGUCAACAGUGUUGGGAAAGAACCUGUCAGGAGGCAGGGAAGUUACCUCUAAGAAGGUGAUAUUUUUUAAUAACCAGAGAGAAUGCCAAAAGCAAAAGCUUGCCAGGGAACAAUUUGUGAAAACAUUUGGUCUAAUGAUUUGCUAGUUCUUAAACAUACUUGGUGAAAUUGG
rnacentral:lncRNA from 1 species